rnacentral:rRNA from 1 species
GUGCCAGCCGCCGCGGUAAUUCGGAGGGUGCAAGCGUUGUCCGGAAUCACUGGGCGUAAAGGGUGCGCGGGCGGGGCAGCAAGUCGGAGGUGAAAGCCCGUGGCUCAACCACGGAAGUGCCUUCGAAACUGCUACUCUUGAGUCCCGGAGAGGUUGCCGGAAUUCGUGGUGUAGCGGUGAAAUGCGUAGAUAUCACGAGGAACACCAGAGGCGAAAGCGGGCAACUGGACGGGUACUGACGCUCAGGCACGAAAGCGCGGGGAGCAAACAGGAUUAGAAACCCGAGUAGUCC